rnacentral:rRNA from 1 species
UUGGAGGGCAAGUCUGGUGCCAGCAGCCGCGGUAAUUCCAGCUCCAAUAGCGUAUAUUAAAGUUGUUGCAGUUAAAAAGCUCGUAGUUGAAUUUCGGGAUCAACACGUCGGUCGUGCCUUCGGUACGCACUAGCGUCGUUGGUUCCUCCCUUCUGACGAACCAAGAUGUCAUUAACUUGGUGUUUUGGGGAGUUAGGACUGUUACUUUGAAAAAAUUAGAGUGUUUAAAGCAGGCAAUCGCUUGAAUACAUUAGCAUGGAAUAAUGAAAUAGGACGUUCGAUCCUAUUUCGUUGGUUUCUAGGAUCAACGUAAUGAUUAAUAGGGAUAGUUGGGGGCAUUAGUAUUCAAUUGUCAGAGGUGAAAUUCUUGGAUUUAUUGAAGACUAACUACUGCGAAAGCAUUUGCCAAGGAUGUUUUCAUUAAUCAAGAACGAAAGUUAGGGGAUCGAAGACGAUCAGAUACCGUCGUAGUCUUAACCAUAAACUAUGCCGACUAGGGAUCGGAUGAUGUUAAUUUUUUAAUGACUCAUUCGGCGCCUUACGGGAAAC